rnacentral:piRNA from 1 species
UGUAAAUUGGAUGUCUCUUCUUGUUUAAGC